CUCCGGUUGAUCCUGCCGGACCCGACUGCUAUCAGAGUGGGACUAAGCCAUGCGAGUCAACAUAGCAAUAUGUGGCAUACGGCUCAGUAACACGUAGUCAACAUGCCCAGGGGACGUGGAUAACCUCGGGAAACUGAGGAUAAACCGCGAUAAGUCACUACUUCUGGAAUGGGUAAUGACUCAAAUCUACAUGGCCCCUGGAUUGGACUGCGGCCGAUCAGGCUGUUGGUGAGGUAAUGGCCCACCAAACCUGUAACCGGUACGGGCUCUGAGAGGAGGAGCCCGGAGAUGGGCACUGAGACAAGGGCCCAGGCCCUAUGGGGCGCAGCAGGCGCGAAACCUCUGCAAUAGGCGAAAGCCUGACAGGGUUACUCUGAGUGAUUUCCGUUAAGGAGAUCUUUUGGCACCUCUAAAAAUGGUGCAGAAUAAGGGGUGGGCAAGUCUGGUGUCAGCCGCCGCGGUAAUACCAGCACCCCGAGUGGUCGGGACGUUUAUUGGGCCUAAAGCAUCCGUAGCCGGUUCUACAAGUCUUCCGUUAAAUCCACCUGCUUAACAGAUGGGCUGCGGAAGAUACUAUAGAGCUAGGAGGCGGGAGAGGCAAGCGGUACUCGAUGGGUAGGGGUAAAAUCCGUUGAUCCAUUGAAGACCACCAGUGGCGAAGGCGGCUUGCCAGAACGCGCUCGACGGUGAGGGAUGAAAGCUGGGGGAGCAAACCGGAUUAGAUACCCGGGUAGUCCCAGCUGUAAACGAUGCAGACUCGGUGAUGGGUUGGCUUCGAGCCAACCCAGUGCCGCAGGGAAGCCGUUAAGUCUGCCGCCUGGGGAGUACGGUCGCAAGACUGAAACUUAAAGGAAUUGGCGGGGGAGCA
rnacentral:rRNA from 1 species